UAUAGCAGCCACCCACCUACUACCAGCUGAACCCCCCCCACCACCACCACCACCACCACCACAACUAGAUACGAAGCCGCCGAACUGAUAAGGCGAAAAAGAAAUUCACAAUCCAACGUUGUGGAGCCGAGAAGAGAGAUGUGCCUCCAGCCGAGCAGGUGCUGGGUUUAGUUUAGUGACAUCACCCGUAGGUUUCCCUGAAGAGGAGCAGUGAAGCUCGCUGUGGUGUUUCCAGGUCGCCGCCAUCUUGAUGGUGAUCGACUCCUGGCUAAGCGUCCGUGGAGAUGAACCAGAGAGAACCUUGUCAUAUCGUACCUUAUUUAUGCAUGAGUUCUAUAGACAUCCUACCUUUUCUUUAAGAUUAGAAAUUUAGAAAUUUUCAGUGAUGUUUUCAGUCACCUGUAGGUUUCCGUGAAGAGCCUCUGUGAACUUCAGUUUGGUUUCUCCAGCUGGAGAUGGAGCUGAACCUGUUUCAGUAAAGAGCCGCUAGGAAGCUCCAUGUGGUGUUAGCAGGUUGAUUCAAAAAUGGUCAAAGAGGUGAACCUCUUUUCAGUGGCGUCUCCCGUAGGAAUCCAUGAAGAGCGUCGCCAUCUUGGAAGUAAUCGACUACUAUUGGUAAAUUCAAACAUGGUCAAAGAGACGGAGCAGAACCAGAGAGCUACAAACCUACGAACCCGAGACAACAACACGAGCAGCAGCGUCGUCGUCUUUCAUCGCGGUUCAGACGGUAAAUGUCAAUUUGUGAUCCUGCUACCGGCGGUCCAGAUAGCUCUCCGACCCUUCUGAUCCUUCCUCGAGGUGGCUGAGAUGAGGAAAUGCCAUCCCUCUCUCCUCUCCUCUUCUCUCCUGGUUUCUGACCAGAGCUCUUUAACUAAAAGCACCUUCCAUCCAUCGCUUGGUCCAUUAGUGCUGCCAGAUGGGGGAGGUUGGGUCCUGGCGGCUAUGUGUGACCCUACUCUGAUUAAUAGAGUAGGUGAGGGCAAAGGUGCAAUGCACACCCCCAUUCAUUACCUCAUUAGGAUGGCCCACAGUGAAAGGUGAUCUCCCUCAUUAUAUCUCAAUGAAGGGGGCUGAACUCGACACAGUGUGAGCCGCGCAGUUGGGUUUUUUACUCUCCGACAAACGCCCGGAUCCCAGCCACCUGUCUUUUUUACACCGAGUCACACCACUUUACACGAAGGGCCCGACUGCAGGAAAAAAAAGAAGCCGAGGCCCCUGACGGACGGCGGCGCACAAUCACUCGCGACUCACUUUCGCAGACCCGAACAACGCUCCAAUUAUCUUUUCACAAGUGGGAAAAUGUGGGACGCAGCCUCGGAUGUGCCCCUCGUGUUUAUUUGCAGGGAGAGGAGUUGGUGCAGAGGGCGAAAAAGGGUGAAUGGAGUUGUUUGAAUUAAGUGUUUAUUCUGGUUAAGUGAAGACGGGGUUAUUUGUGGUUUUGGAAUUCCAGACGUGUUUGUUUUUCCUCCUCGUGAUACUUGGGUGGAAUCCUUCAA